CACAUACUCCCUCCGUCCGAAAAAGCUUGUCCCUCAAAUGAAUGUAUCUAGUCCUAAGUUAGUGCUAGAUACAUCCAUUUAAGGGACAAGUUUGGGACAAGUUUUUUCGGACGGAGGUAGUAUGAG
rfam:Triticum aestivum genome assembly, contig: Triticum_aestivum_CS42_TGACv1_scaffold_621868_7DS